rnacentral:rRNA from 1 species
UGCUCAGUAACACGUGGAUAACCUACCCUUAGGACCGGAAUAACCCCGGGAAACUGGGGAUAAUACCGGAUAAGCCAUAGACGCUGGAAUGCCCUAUGGUUCAAAGCUCCGGCGCCUAAGGAUGGAUCUGCGGUCUAUCAGGUUGUAGUGGGUGUAACGUACCUACUAGCCGACGACGGAUACGGGUUGUGAAAGCAAGAGCCCGGAGAUGGAUUCUGAGACACGAAUCCAGGCCCUACGGGGUGCAGCAGGCGCGAACACUUUACAAUGCGGGAAACCGCGAUAAGGGAACCCCGAGUGCCAGCAUCAAAUGUUGGCUGUCCGGAUGAUUAAAAAUCAUUUGUUAGCAAGGGCCGGGCAAGACCGGUGCCAGCCGCCGCGGUAACACCGGCGGCCCGAGUGGUAGCCGCUUUUAUUGGGUCUAAAGGGUCCGUAGCCGGCUUGAUAAGUCCUUUGGGAAAUCUGGCAGCUUAACUGUCAGGCUUCUAAGGGAUACUGUCAGGCUUGGGACCGGAAGAGGUAAGGGGUACUCCAGGGGUAGGAGUGAAAUCUUGUAAUCCCUGGGGGACCAUCUGUGGCGAAGGCGCCUUACCAGAACGGGUCCGACGGUGAGGGACGAAAGCUAGGGGAGCAAACCGGAUUAGAUACCCGUGUAGUCCUAGCUGUAACGAUGCUCGCUAGGUGUCAGACACGGUGCGACCGUGUUUGGUGCCGCAGGGAAGCCGUUAAGCGAGCCACCUGGGAAGUACGGUCGCAAGGCUGAAACUUAAAGGAAUUGGCGGGGGAGCACUACAACGGGUGGAGCCUGCGGUUUAAUUGGAUUCAACGCCGGAAAACUCACCGGGUGCGACAGCAAUAUGUAGGUCAGGCUGAAGGUCUUACCUGAAUCGCUGAGAGGAGGUGCAUGGCCGUCGUCAGUUCGUACUGUGAAGCAUCCUGUUAAGUCAGGCAACGAGCGAGACCCGCGCCCACAGUUGCCAGCAUGUUCUCCGGAACGAUGGGUACACUGUGGGGACCGCCGCUGCUAAAGCGGAGGAAGGAACGGGCUACGGUAGGUCAGUAUGCCCCGAAUCUCCCGAGCUACACGCGGGCUACAAUGGUUGGGAUAAUGGGCACCUACCCUGAAAAGGGACGGUAAUCUCCUAAACCAACCGUAGUUCGGAUUGAGGGCUGUACUCGCCUCAUGAACUGGAAUCCGUAGUAUCCGUUCACAUACUCGGUGAAUC